rnacentral:lncRNA from 10 species
AUAUUAACCAUCCAUUUAACUAUGUUACUACAUAUCUUCUCAGAGUUAAAGUUUUGCUAGAGUCUAAUCAAAACAUAAGCACAGAAUUAAAGUUUCUAAAAUGUAUUUACAUUUUACCCCUGUGCUAAAGAAGGAAUGAGCAAUAAUCGAAAGUUAAUAGAGUUGGCCGGGCACAGUGGCUCACACCUGUAAUCCCAGCACUUUGGGAGGCCGAGGUGGGAGGAGGAUCACUGAGGCCCACAAGUUUGAGACCAACCUGGGCAACAAAUCAGUCCUUCUAAAAAAGAAGCUUGAAGAACAUCUAGAGAAGCUGCAUGAGGCCAAUAAUGAACUACAGAAGAAGAGAGCCAUUAUUGAAGAUCUCGAGCCAAGAUUUAACAACAGCUCCUUAAAAAUUGAAGAAUUACAAGAAGCUUUACGAAAGAAAGAGGAAGAAAUGAAGCAAAUGGAAGAACGAUACAAAAAAUACUUAGAGAAAGCCAAAAGUGUCAUCCGUACUUUAGAUCCUAAACAGAAUCAAGGAGCAGCACCAGAAAUACAAGCUCUUAAAAAUCAGCU